CCUACGGGAGGCUGCAGUGGGGAAUAUUGCGCAAUGGGCGAAAGCCUGACCCAGCAACGCCGCGUGGAGGAAGAAGGCCCUCGGGUUGUAAACUUCUUUUGUCAGGGACGAAGAUAGUGACGGUCCCUGACUAAUAAGCGACGGCUACCUACGUACCAGCCGCAGCCGUAAUACGGAGGUGGCCAGCGUGAUCCGGCUUUACUGGGUGUAAAGGGCGCGUAGGCGGGACUGCAAGUCAGAUGUGAAAUGCCAGGGCUCAACCCUGGAACUGCAUUUGAAACUGUAGGUCUUGAGUGAGGGAGAGGGAGGCGGAAUUCCUGGUGUAGCGGUGAAAUGCGUAGAUAUCCGGAGGAACACUAGUGGCGAAGGCGGCCUGCUGGACAGUAACUGACGCUGAGGCGCGAAAGCGUGGGGAGCAAACAGGAUUAGAUACCCGUGUAGUC
rnacentral:rRNA from 1 species